GCAAGUCGAACGAUGAACUGGAGCUUGCUCCAGGGAUUAGUGGCGAACGGGUGAGUAACACGUGAGUAACCUGCCCUUGACUCUGGGAUAAGCGUUGGAAACGACGUCUAAUACCGGAUAUGACUUCCGCCGGCAUCGGCUGGGAGUGGAAAGAACUUUGGUCAAGGAUGGACUCGCGGCCUAUCAGGUAGUUGGUGAGGUAAUGGCUCACCAAGCCUACGACGGGUAGCCGGCCUGAGAGGGUGACCGGCCACACUGGGACUGAGACACGGCCCAGACUCCUACGGGAGGCAGCAGUGGGGAAUAUUGCACAAUGGGCGAAAGCCUGAUGCAGCAACGCCGCGUGAGGGAUGACGGCCUUCGGGUUGUAAACCUCUUUUAGUUGGGAAGAAGGGAGCUUGCUCUUGACGGUACCAGCAGAAAAAGCACCGGCUAACUACGUGCCAGCAGCCGCGGUAAUACGUAGGGUGCAAGCGUUGUCCGGAAUUAUUGGGCGUAAAGAGCUCGUAGGCGGUUUGUCGCGUCUGCUGUGAAAUCUGGGGGCUCAACCCCCAGCCUGCAGUGGGUACGGGCAGACUAGAGUGCGGUAGGGGAGAUUGGAAUUCCUGGUGUAGCGGUGGAAUGCGCAGAUAUCAGGAGGAACACCGAUGGCGAAGGCAGAUCUCUGGGCCGUUACUGACGCUGAGGAGCGAAAGCAUGGGGAGCGAACAGGAUUAGAUACCCUGGUAGUCCAUGCCGUAAACGUUGGGAACUAGAUGUAGGGGCCAUUCCACGGUUUCUGUGUCGCAGCUAACGCAUUAAGUUCCCCGCCUGGGGAGUACGGCCGCAAGGCUAAAACUCAAAGGAAUUGACGGGGGCCCGCACAAGCGGCGGAGCAUGCGGAUUAAUUCGAUGCAACGCGAAGAACCUUACCAAGGCUUGACAUAUACCGGAAACGUCCAGAGAUGGUCGCCCCGCAAGGUCGGUAUACAGGUGGUGCAUGGUUGUCGUCAGCUCGUGUCGUGAGAUGUUGGGUUAAGUCCCGCAACGAGCGCAACCCUCGUUCUAUGUUGCCAGCACGUUAUGGUGGGAACUCAUAGGAGACUGCCGGGGUCAACUCGGAGGAAGGUGGGGAUGACGUCAAAUCAUCAUGCCCCUUAUGUCUUGGGCUUCACGCAUGCUACAAUGGCCGAUACAAAGGGCUGCAAUACCGUAAGGUGGAGCGAAUCCCAAAAAGUCGGUCUCAGUUCGGAUUGAGGUCUGCAACUCGACCUCAUGAAGUCGGAGUCGCUAGUAAUCGCAGAUCAGCAACGCUGCGGUGAAUACGUUCCCGGGCCUUGUACACACCGCCCGUCAAGUCAUGAAAGUCGGUAACACCCGAAGCCGGUGGCCCAACCCUUGUGGAGGGAGC
rnacentral:rRNA from 1 species